rnacentral:lncRNA from 1 species
UAUCGUGAUCUUUUUAGGAUUAUUUUCCAAUACUAAUUUCUUUUUUACCCCUUAAUAGCUACAUCGGAUGUAAAAAAAACAUUAUUAUUAUUAAAAAAAAAAAAAAAAUAAUAAUAAUAAUAAAAAACGCUCUUUUUGAGUACCUGUUGUCUUCUAUCCUGCGCAUGCGCAUUGUAGUAAUGCUUCGUUUGCGACUGUUUGAAUCUUUGGUGACAUGGAAAGCACACCACAACUCGUCGAGUUAAAGCUCACCGAGUAAGGAUAAAAAACGUGAUACUGCAAAACUAUGUGGUUUCCAACUCCAUCAUUAAAAUUCCCCAGAGUCGCUUCGGAGCAGUUGCUCUUCCACAAUGACCACUAGUUUCUCGAGCUGUGACGUCAAGGGAAGUGGGACAGAGGAAUUCUGGGUAAAGGGAGAGGUGCCUGAACCACUGAGGUGUUGUGAAGGAAUUCCCACCUCCGUCUUCACUCUCAUUUACGAGACCCACAUAAAUCCAAGCCUGUUUAUCAUUUCCGUCCAAUCAGGAGACACAUUUAUGAACAGGUAAGAGCAGGGCAGAAACUCCUCGCAGGUGUACAGUCAGAAACAGGGCAGAGGGUCGCAGGAGGAAAAGCAGAAUCAGGACCACAUGUAGACGCAGUCAUCACGGCAGAUCAAAGCCCGCCAAACUCACAGCCGAGAUCAAAAGAGGCCGAGUUACUCUCGCGUGAGCCCUACACGGCCCUGAGGUGGACUGGACUGCAUUAGACAUCUGAGCUGAGGGUUUCCAAAACUAACAAGAAAGCAUAAUAGACGAGCGGGGAGAUUCAGUGAGACAUUGUACCACCAAAACACUUUUGUACUAGACGCCAUAUUUAAGUAAUAGUUGUUGCAUGAAAGAAAAAUAAACAUUUUAAACUUGAACAUGUUUAUGCAUAAUGUAUGAGCUUUGGAAUAUAAUUAAAGUGCGUUGUGGUUUAGGGUGUUUGUCAACAGCCAUAUACUGAAAAUGGAAGGUUUUUCCAUUGCAUUUUUAUGGUGUUGACAAAACUUUUUGUAAAGUACUCUAAUGUGCACGCCAGGCCAGUAGAUGGCCGUGUCAUUUUGUAAAGAAACACUAUGCGCCUGCACAAAUGUGGUUCUAAGGUCCGUUCUUUGUACCUCGCUUAAAUGAUCUAAGAUGAUUUGGCAGAUCCUGGAUCUUUUAAUCUUGAUAACUGAUCUCUCGCUAAUUUGGUUCUCCGAAGAAGUUCACGAAUCAGAUUAGCAUAUCUGGAUGAACUGAUCUGAGAUCGCUGCGUGUGUUGUGAAGGACAGAUCUAUCAAUCCUCGAAAUCAUGAUCAGCAAUGCAACUAUUGGCUGACGGCACAUCAACGUAAUGACAUCAUCUGAUUAAUAUUCAAUUAUCCAUGUUAGUAAAAUUACAUCAAAUUAGCAGUAAACCGUUUGUUAAAUAUGACACGCAAUAACCUUCCACAUUUGUUGAGAGCUGCGCAGGCUUUACACUUUCAUGUGUCAAGAGUAUUCAUCAUGUAUUUAGUUCUACAUUUAGAAAAUAUUUUCUUUAUUAUAGUAGCCGUUAUUUUAAUCAGUGUAAAGAAUAACUGGAUGUUUACAAAAGCAUUUUGAUAUUGGUAAAGGUGUCUGCAACUUUUGUGAAGCAUCAAGUCACCGUCAUAUUAACUGUCAAAAUAUGUUUAUGUCAGCAUAAAUUUAUUAUUGCUUUUUAAAAAAAUGACAUAUUGUGCAUUUCUAUUAUACACAAAUUGUUCUAAAGCGAUCUAAAAAGUUCAUAUCAAUAAGUUUUCUCUUUGCACCACCAGGUGGGAGUCUUUGUACUUUCAUUUCGGAGUGCAGAUUGCAAGUUUUAAUAAUAUAUAUUUUUAACUUAAAAAAAAAAAAAAAAAAAAAAAAAAAAAUAUAUAUAUAUAUAUAUAUAUAUAUAUAUAUAUAUAUAUAUAUAUAGUUGAAAAAAAGUUACUAUUUUG